rnacentral:rRNA from 1 species
UGUAACAACUCUCAACAACGGAUAUCUCGGCUCUCACAUCGAUGAAAAACAUAGCAAAAUGCGAUACUUUGUGUGAAUUGGAGAAUCCCGUGAACCAUCGAGUCUUUGAAUGCAAGUUACGCAUGAAGCCUUCCUGUCGAGUGCACAUCUGCUGGAUGCCACAC